CCUACGGGAGGCAGCAGUGGGGAAUAUUGGACAAUGGGCGAAAGCCUGAUCCAGCAAUGCCGCGUGAGUGAUGAAGGCCUUAGGGUUGUAAAGCUCUUUUACCAGGGAUGAUAAUGACAGUACCUGGAGAAUAAGCUCCGGCUAACUCCGUGCCAGCAGCCGCGGUAAUACGGAGGGAGCUAGCGUUGUUCGGAAUUACUGGGCGUAAAGCGUACGUAGGCGGUUAUUCAAGUCAGAGGUGAAAGCCUGGAGCUCAACUCCAGAACUGCCUUUGAAACUAGAUAGCUAGAAUCUUGGAGAGGUGAGUGGAAUUCCGAGUGUAGAGGUGAAAUUCGUAGAUAUUCGGAAGAACACCAGUGGCGAAGGCGACUCACUGGACAAGUAUUGACGCUGAGGUACGAAAGCGUGGGGAGCAAACAGGAUUAGAUACCCUGGUAGUCCACGCCGUAAACGAUGAUAACUAGCUGUUCGGGCUCUACGAGCUUGAGUGGCGCNGCUACGACAUUAAGUUAUUCCGUCCGUCGGGUAGGUACGGUCGCGAAGAAGUUAAAACGUAACAAAUAGAAGUUAGUACGGACGUGAGACGUCGCCGACGGACGACGACGAGGGAGGAGG
rnacentral:rRNA from 1 species